rnacentral:tRNA from 2 species
UCCCUGGUGGUCCAGUGGCUAAGACUCUGCACUCCCAAUGCAGGGGGCCCGGGUUCGAUCCCUGGCCAGGGAA